CACAUGCAAGUCGAGGGGAACGACAUCGAAAGCUUGCUUUUGAUGGGCGUCGACCGGCGCACGGGUGAGUAACGCGUAUCCAACCUGCCCACCACUUGGGGAUAACCUUGCGAAAGUAAGACUAAUACCCAAUGACGUCUCUAGAAGACAUCUGAAGGAGAUUAAAGAUUUAUCGGUGAUGGAUGGGGAUGCGUCUGAUUAGCUUGUUGGCGGGGUAACGGCCCACCAAGGCGACGAUCAGUAGGGGUUCUGAGAGGAAGGUCCCCCACAUUGGAACUGAGACACGGUCCAAACUCCUACGGGAGGCAGCAGUGAGGAAUAUUGGUCAAUGGACGAGAGUCUGAACCAGCCAAGUAGCGUGCAGGAUGACGGCCCUAUGGGUUGUAAACUGCUUUUAUAAGGGAAUAAAGUGAGUCUCGUGAGACUUUUUGCAUGUACCUUAUGAAUAAGGACCGGCUAAUUCCGUGCCAGCAGCCGCGGUAAUACGGAAGGUCCGGGCGUUAUCCGGAUUUAUUGGGUUUAAAGGGAGCGUAGGCCGGAGAUUAAGCGUGUUGUGAAAUGUAGACGCUCAACGUCUGCACUGCAGCGCGAACUGGUUUCCUUGAGUACGCACAAAGUGGGCGGAAUUCGUGGUGUAGCGGUGAAAUGCUUAGAUAUCACGAAGAACUCCGAUUGCGAAGGCAGCUCACUGGAGCGCAACUGACGCUGAAGCUCGAAAGUGCGGGUAUCGAACAGGAUUAGAUACCCUGGUAGUCCGCACGGUAAACGAUGGAUGCCCGCUGUUGGUCUGAAUAGGUCAGCGGCCAAGCGAAAGCAUUAAGCAUCCCACCUGGGGAGUACGCCGGCAACGGUGAAACUCAAAGGAAUUGACGGGGGCCCGCACAAGCGGAGGAACAUGUGGUUUAAUUCGAUGAUACGCGAGGAACCUUACCCGGGCUUGAAUU
rnacentral:rRNA from 1 species